AGGGAAUCUUCCGCAAUGGACGAAAGUCUGACGGAGCAACGCCGCGUGAGUGAUGAAGGUUUUCGGAUCGUAAAGCUCUGUUGCCAGGGAAGAACGUCUUCUGGAGUAACUGCCAGGAGAGUGACGGUACCUGAGAAGAAAGCCCCGGCUAACUACGUGCCAGCAGCCGCGGUAAUACGUAGGGGGCAAGCGUUGUCCGGAAUUAUUGGGCGUAAAGCGCGCGCAGGCGGCUGUUUAAGUCUGGUGUUUAAGCCUGGGACUCAACCCCGGGUCGCACUGGAAACUGGAUGGCUUGAGUGCAGAAGAGGAGAGUGGAAUUCCACGUGUAGCGGUGAAAUGCGUAGAGAUGUGGAGGAACACCAGUGGCGAAGGCGACUCUCUGGGCUGUAACUGACGCUGAGGCGCGAAAGCGUGGGGAGCAAAC
rnacentral:rRNA from 1 species